rnacentral:tRNA from 1 species
GGGCUUUGGUCUAGUGGUAUGAUUCUCGCUUAGGGUGCGAGAGGUCGUGGGUUCAAUUCCCGCAAGCC